ACACCUCAACUCUCACAGUUUGCUGUGAAGAGCUUGGACUUUGGGGGUUUUGCUGGCCUGAGGUCGGCUCCUCUCAAAUGAAUCAGCUUGCCAGUGUUUGGUGGCAUCACAGGUGUGAUAACUAUCUACGCUUGUGGUUGUCUGCCAGGUGACCUUCAGUGAUGGAGGUCCGCUGGAGCUUACAAAUGUCUUCCCUGAGCGAAGACGGUUUUUCGAAC
rnacentral:misc_RNA from 1 species